rnacentral:ncRNA from 1 species
CUACUCAUGCCUGCAUUUAGGUGCAGCGUUGCGUGUUUCUUGCCGGAGGUAGAGCUACUGGAUGGCCGAUGGGCCCUAAAAGGUUACUGACGUCAGCUAAACUCCGAAUGCCGGUAAGUGAGAGCGCAGCAGUGAGACUGUGGGGGAUAAGCUUCAUAGUCGAGAGGGAAACAACCCAGAUCACCAUCUAAGGUCCCAAAGCGCGUGCUAAGUGGAAAAGGAUGUGGAGUUGCUGUGACAACCAGGAGGUUGGCUUAGAAGCAGCCACCCUUGAAAGAGUGCGUAAUAGCUCACUGGUCAAGUGAUUCCGCGCCGACAAUGUAACGGGGCUCAAGCACGCCACCGAAGUUGUGGCAUUCAUAUUACAGGUAGGCCUUCGUGGUCCAGCCGUAUGGAUGGGUAGGAGAGCGUCGUGUGGCGAGUGAAGCGGCGGUGUGAACCAGCCGUGGAUGCCACACGAGUGAGAAUGCAGGCAUGAGUAGCGAAAGACGGGUGAGAAACCCGUCCUCCGGAAGACCAAGGGUUCCAGGGUCAAGCUAAUCUUCCCUGGGUAAGUCGGGACCUAAGGCGAGGCCGACAGGCGUAGUCGAUGGACAACGGGUUGAUAUUCCCGUACCGAUUAGUAACCGUUCAAGACCUAACUAGUAGUGCUAAGCAAACCAAAGCUUCAUGGAUCCUUCGGGUGAAGUGGGGUGGCGGCUGCGAACCCGAACUGGGGUGGUGAGCGUGAGGUGUGACGCAGGAAGGUAGAUGAUCCCGGGCGAUGGUUGUCCCGGGCUAAGCAUGUAGCCCGAGUCGUAGGCAAAUCCGCGACUCGUAUAAGGGUGAGAUGCGAUGGGGACCCGUAUGGGGAAGUCAUUGAUCCUAUGCUGCCAAGAAAAGCAUCGACGUGAGGUUGCUAGUUGCCCGUACCCCAAACCGACACAGGUGGUCAGGUAGAGAAUACUAAGGAGCUCGAGAUAAUUAUGGUGAAGGAACUCGGCAAAAUGCCCCCGUAACUUCGGGAGAAGGGGGGCCAUCCACUUAUUAGGAUUUACUCCGAAAGGGUGUGGUGGCCGCAGAGACCAGUGGGGAACGACUGUUUACUAAAAACACAGGUCCGUGCUAACACGCAAGUGGACGUAUACGGACUGACGCCUGCCCGGUGCUGGAAGGUUAAGAGGAGCGGUUAGUGUCUUCGGACGCGAAGCUGUGAAUUUAAGCCCCAGUAAACGGCGGUGGUAACUAUAACCAUCCUAAGGUAGCGAAAUUCCUUGUCGGGUAAGUUCCGACCUGCACGAAUGGCGUAACGAUUCCCCAGCUGUCUCCACCAUAAACUCGGCGAAAUUGCAGUACGAGUAAAGAUGCUCGUUACGCGCAGAAGGACGGAAAGACCCCGUGACCUUUACUACAGCUUGGUAUUGGUGUUCGGUGUGGCUUGUGUAGGAUAGGUGGGAGACUGUGAAGCUGGCACGCUAGUGUUGGUGGAGUCAUUGUUGAAAUACCACUCUGGUCAUAUUGGAUAUCUAACGACGAACCCUGAUCGGGUUUUCGGACAGUGCCUGGUGGGUAGUUUAACUGGGGCGGUUGCCUCCUAAAAAGUAACGGAGGCGCCCAAAGGUUCCCUCAACCUGGUUGGUAAUCAGGUGGCGAGUGUAAGUGCACAAGGGAGCUUGACUGUGAGACUGACAGGUCGAGCAGGGACGAAAGUCGGGACUAGUGAUCCGGCAGUGGCUUGUGGAAGCGCUGUCGCUCAACGGAUAAAAGGUACCUCGGGGAUAACAGGCUGAUCUUGCCCAAGAGUCCAUAUCGACGGCAUGGUUUGGCACCUCGAUGUCGGCUCGUCGCAUCCUGGGGCUGGAGUCGGUCCCAAGGGUUGGGCUGUUCGCCCAUUAAAGCGGUACGCGAGCUGGGUUUAGAACGUCGUGAGACAGUUCGGUCCCUAUCCUCUGCGCGCGUUGGAAAUUUGAGAGGAUCUGACCCUAGUACGAGAGGACCGGGUUGGACGAACCUCUGGUGUGCCAGUUGUUCUGCCAAGGGCAUGGCUGGUUGGCUACGUUCGGGAUGGAUAACCGCUGAAAGCAUCUAAGCGGGAAGCCGGCCUCAAGAUGAGAUUUCCGUAGGGUUUAACCCUGUGAGGCUCCCAGUAGACUACUGGGUUGAUAGGCCAGAUGUGGAAGCACGGCAACGUGUGGAGCUGACUGGUACUAAUAAGCCGAUGACUUGAUUUU